CAAAUACUUAAUUCAUUGGCUCGAAUCUAGGUUUUGGCUUUAGAUUUCGAGAAAAUGUACAACUAAGGAAUCAUUUUUCACUUCUGACUUCUCAAACCCCAAAUCACGGCAUCGGUCGACUACCUACAGUCUUCUUCCCAGCGGUCCCGGUCGACUCCGGAUGUUGCGUCUGGGUUUAGGAAUUCUGGUUAUGUCAUUUCCUCAUGAAGUUGAAAGUAAGUUUGCAGGCGAAUGCACUUACAAAAUGGAUGUUGAAACUGUGGCGCACAUUUCUCGGCAACAUUAGAAGUCUGGUAAAAGUAUUGAUUUGAAGGAAAGACGAGCAGAUUCUGGGGCCCUGCCUCUAAAAUGAGUCUCUCUGGGGAGAGAGAGGAGGGGGGCCCUGCCUCUAAAAUGAGUCUCUCUGGGGAGAGAGAGGAGGGGGUCCCUGCAUCUAAAAUGAGUCUCUCUGGGGAACAUGACACCAAAGCUAAGAGGUGAGAUGACAAUUUUUGAUAUCAUUAUUUUGAGUUUAUUUCCAAAAUGUUCACAUUUGUUUUUUUAAUCAGAAAUGGUUGCUUAUGGGUUCCUUCAAUAUUACUGUUCUCAGAUUUUUUAUUUAUAGAUUUUAGAUUUUAUAUGUAUAUAUAUAUUUUUAUUUAUUGCAAAACGCUAUAAAUCCAUUGUUUAGCUGGAAUAUAAUGCUCCUAUCUUGUAUAUUUGACUGUAUUAUGAGCUUGGAUAAGAGCAUCUGCUAAAUCAGGGGUUCUCAAUCCGGGGUCUGUGGAGGUACUGCAGGGGUUCUCAAUCCGGGGUCUGUGGAGGUACUGCAGGGGUUCUCAAUCCGGGGUCUGUGGAGGUACUGCAGGGGUUCCACGGCACCCUGACUGUACUCGUUGCAAUGUUAGACAUUUUAUAGAAUUUUAACAUGACAAAACCACUUUGCCUACUUAAUUAUUGCCUAAUAUAAUGUAAUGCAUACUUUUUUAACCAAUUGUGAUCGUUGAUACAAACAUAAUUUGGACAUUAUUACCAUUAUAUCAACACACUCUUCAUAUCCGUUUAACAACUCUAAAUAUCUUUGGCAUAGUAGUCAUCAAGUCCCUUGCCAAUAAUGUUAUAAGCAUCAUACUAGUUAUCCUAUCCUCUCUCGUUGAUUGAUGCUGGCAACCUCUGUCCGGUGCUCCUCCAUUCACUAGAUGGACUGUAACUUCCGUGUUUAACCCCUCUGUGUCCAAGAACCAAACUUUUUAAUAUUAUUUUCGGGAGGGCCUCAAGUAGGCUGGACAAAUCCCAUUUUUAACAUUUCUUUCUGAUAAAAACUAGUUCAUUGCAUCCGCCAUGGAGCCCAGUUUCAUAAUAUUAAAUAUGUUAAAUAGUAAUCGCUACAAAACAGGCCUUAUUUUAGGUCAUUCUUCUCCCUGCCAGCUCCUAUUAGUUCUAUUGAGCUCCGUGGAAUCAACUCACCUUCUGAACGUUCUAUUCCCAGCUCAUUGUUCUGCGUCACAAUGGCAGCGUCACUAUUGCUAUCAAUCAGACCUGCCUACGUUUACCUUGGGUUUAUUUCUAAGCGAAUUUUAAGUGCACCAACCCUGUUUGCUGAACUACACGUUGUGGUGACCCACAGGACUAAACGUUAAACAUUUUCUGGUCAUGGUUAACCAUAUUUAUUUUCAAAAAAGAGGUAUACAACCUAAACAAUACACAUAUCCCUGUCCUCUUUUUCAAGACGUGGCCGAUUUAAACAGCCAGAAUACAUUUUUUUGUUACGAAAUAACACUUUUUUUUUGACUUCUUGUCGUUUCUAAAUGGCUGCUGGGUAAUUUGAUAUGCAUCGAAAUUGAGUGAAUGCUGCGCAGGUUCACUGAGUUGCAAACCAAAUGGACAGGUGUAGCUCAUUGAUUUGUAGAUCUGACUCAGUGGCUACCUCCGAUUAUGAGCCUAGCAGGUGUCGUGAAUGAGUUAUGUAGUACCCAGAGGCCACAGGGAGGAGCAAGAGAGCUAUAAACGCAUACUGUUUCUUGCCUUAAAACCCCUAAACCUAAAAAUCUAUCAAAUGUAUUUAUAAAGCCCUUUUUACAUCAGCAGAUGUCACAAUGUGCUAUACAGAAACUCUAAC
ensembl:lncRNA